rnacentral:snRNA from 1 species
AUGUAGGCAAGGGAAGUCG